GUGCUCACUUCGGCAGCACAUAUGCUAAAAUUAGAAGGAGACAGAGAAGGUUAGCAUGGCCCCUGUGGGAGGGUGACAUGCUAAGUAAGGUUCAGUAGGUAAAG